rnacentral:pre_miRNA from 1 species
ACUUGUGAGGAAAUACAGGAAGUGAGGCUGAGGGGCAGAGAGCGAGACUUUUCUAUUUUCCCAAAGCUCGGUCUGAGGCCCCUCAGUCUUGCUUCCUACCCCGCGCUUG